UACGGAGGGUGCAAGCGUUGUUCGGAAUUAUUGGGCGUAAAGCGCGUGUAGGCGGCAUUGCAAGUCGGGCGUGAAAUCCCACGGCUCAACCGUGGAAGUGCACCCGAAACUACGUAGCUAGAGUCCUGGAGAGGAAGGUGGAAUGCUUGGUGUAGAGGUGAAAUUCGUAGAUAUCAAGCGGAACACCGGUGGCGAAGGCGGCCUUCUGGACAGUGACUGACGCUGAGACGCGAAAGCGUGGGGAGCAAACGGG
rnacentral:rRNA from 1 species